rnacentral:misc_RNA from 1 species
GCAAACUUGGUCAUUUAGAGGAAGUAAAAGUCGUAACAAGGUUUCCGUAGGUGAACCUGCGGAAGGAUCAUUAUCUAUUUUCCAGGUGUGGUUGCGGCCCCUGCGAAUCAACUCGCAGGCGGUAGGGGUAACACCCUCACGCGGCCACUUACCUAAAUCCUCUUUAUACGAGCACCUUUCGUUCUCCUUCGGCGGGGUUUCUCCGCCGCUGGAACAACAAAACCUUUUUUUGCAUCUAGCAUUACCUGUUCUGAUACAAACAAUCGUAACAACUUUCAACAAUGGAUCUCUUGGCUCUGGCAUCGAUGAAGAACGCAGC